CAGAGUUCAUGCCCUUCGGGGUAGAUCUCCCACCCUUGUGUAUUUAUACCUUUGUUGCUUUGGCAGGCCGCUGGGCGUAGCCUAGCUAUCGGCUUCGGCUGGUAAGUGCUUGCCAGAGGAAAUCAAACUCUGAAUGUUAAUGUCGUCUGAGUACUAUAUAAUAGUUA
rnacentral:misc_RNA from 1 species